UCCGUUUCUGUUGUUAUAAGAACUUGUUCCUUGUCCAGCAGGCUUAAAGUCUCUUCCUCUAGAAUUGAAAUUAUUGCUUCCUCUUCUUUGAGAGUAGUUUCCUCUUCCCUUGCCUCUUUGGGCAGAGAAUGUCAUGUUAUGGUUUUGUUAAGGCACUUCUUCUUCAUCCUUCCUCAUAUCAAAACCCAUGAGAGCAUUAACACAUUGAUUAAGAGUAGGAUAUGGUGUCUUACCUAGCAUGACAGUCCUGAAGGUCUUGUACUUAAGACCUAGACCUCUAGCAAAAUUAAUCACUUUGCUAUCUUCAUCUACAGGCUUGUGAAUGGUUAUAAGGCCAUCACAUAUGUCUUUGAAUUCCUUAAUAUAUUCGUCAAUUGUUUUGGUUCCUAGCUUCACACUUUACAGUUGUUGUUUGAGCUGUAACUCCGUAUCUUUUGUUGCUUGAAGAUAAGCUUCUUCCAAGCAUUCCCGCAUCUCCUUGGCAGUUGAGCAGCCUACAAUCAAGUACAUGCUUUCUUUUGAGAUCCAAAUCCUUAGCAACACAUCAUUCUCCUCCCAGUUAUCAACAAUGUUACUGUCUUCUGCACCCUUCUCGCCUGCUACAACUUUCUCAGUAAUCUGUCUAGUGGAACAUGUAUCUUUAGGUGGUUCUGUGAGGAGGUAAGUUAAUUUCAUCACAUGAAUCAACUGAGACAUUUGUGUCCUCCAUAUAAGAUAGUUCGUUGGCUUAAGUCUAAUGGAGCAGGACGAAAUAAGAUGAUGAAGUGAAGAGUUCAAAAGAGUGUUGGUAGAAGGGGCCAUUGCGGUUCAAUAUUUUGGUUGUUUUGGUUUUGAUCUAAUACGUUAAAGAGCGGAAAAGCUUUAUUGCUCUGAUACCAUGUAGAAUUCUCACAUAAGUAUGGAAAAAUCAAGGAUUGUAUUGAUGAUUAUAAUGUAAAGUUACAAGUUCCUUAUAUAGGAGAAGAGUCAUAUUCUAGUUAUACUAGGAAUCCUACUACAACACAAUUAUUUACAUGAGUAGUAUUGUAUUACAAGUCAAAUACCUUAUCCUAGUCGACUCCUACAAUAUUCAGUAGCUUAGUCCUACAUGUUCCAUCAGUCUUCAAGCUUCCUUCAACAAAUAAUUGAUAGGUUGAUUUUUUUUAGUCUAUUUUAAAAAUCUAAGAAUAGAAUUUAGAAAGAUUUUGAAAAUUCAAUUUUUUUUAUAUAUCAUAUAUUCAUUCAUAUCCAUAAGAUAUGUGUUCAAUACUUAAGGGUACAUGGAUCGAAUUGGUUCCGAAUUUUCAAAUACCAAAUCAAAAAAAAUUGUGUGAAAUUUUUAAACCAAAUCAAAAUAAUAAAAUUUAAAUUUUUCAACCUCAGGUUUUUGAGUUUUUUCAGUAAAGUAUUCAUACAAACAUAUAAUUAAAUUAUGCUUCAAAUAUUAUUUAGUCCUACUAAAAUAUAACCAUAUAAGGUGUUUUAUUAAAGAAAAUAACACAAAAUAGGAUAUGAGUGAUGACAUUAAAAUCGUAACCGUCCUAUGGCUCUUGACUCUAGUGACUUUAGUCCAUAUUAACGAUAGAAAAUUAUACGAAACAAACUAUUAGGUGAACUUUGAGGUUGUCAAUUGUAUCGCCUUAAAAGCUCAAAAGUCAAAAUAGAAAAUUUCAAAAAUAUUUAAAUCGAUUAAUUCAAUAUCAAACUUAAAAAGUCUAAUUAAUUCGAACUUAUAUUUAAGGUAGUUUUGUUGAAGUGUGUGACUAUCUCAUCUAAAAACUUAAGCUGUUAGAGAAACCACACUUUUAUUAUUAAAUUAUAUUCUCAACAAGUUUCGAUCAAAAAUUCAAAUCAAACUAUUCCUAUUAAAUUCGAAUGUCCACGCACCCCUACUUGAUACUAGUCAAAAUUGGAGACAAAUUCCUAGCAUAUCACGAAGAUUAAUGUGAAUGGAAUAAAUAAAUUCCAGAUAAGAGAGUAUGUAAUAUAAUUUGGGUUGGUGGGACUAUAUGUUGGAUCUUUCCACUUUCAUCUUUGAGUAGUCGAAGACUAACGCCACCAUCAUACGAAUAUUAAACUUUUGUUUAAUAUAUAAAUUUAUAUAAAAUACUAUUCCUUUUUUAUCCGCUUCACAAAAAUGUUGUCAACACCCCUUUCCCAAGCUAUUAAGAAAUCCCAGCAUAUUUUGUUGGAAAAGUUAAAAGAGAAAUCUCACUAUUUUAGGAGCUAAUUAUUUGGAUAUAUUUUAGUUUGCAAUAUUAAGAAUCUUAUCAGAUUUUGAUGCGUUCAAAUACAUGUAUCUCGAAAUACAUGGGGUCAAAAUCAGGUAUAAUUUAUUUUAGAUAAACUACAUCCAAGUAGAUAUACAUAAUGAAUCUCGUUCGUCCUCCUCCCAUCUCACUCGCUACUCUCCUAUGUAUAUGGUAUCCCAGAUAAAGAUACAUUUAUCUAGUAUGUAUCUAGUGUGAUUUGCAUGAAUCUGGAAUACAUGACUAUCUCAUUCGCCUCUCUCCCUAAUUUAGUGUAUCUGGUAACACAAGUACAUGUAUCUAGGUAUAUCUUCCUCAAUAUAUGGUGGGAGACUAUUAAUACGUAAUUAUUUGAAAAUAUAAGAAAACUGAAUAUAUAUGAUAUGGAUAUGAUAUAGAGGAUGACACUCAUUUUUCCAGAUAGUUGGUAAAUCGUGGAAGUUGAUCUCAAAUUUAACCAUUGAUCGCUAACGGGGAUGAACACUAUGUUUUCUUUGUUCUAUUUAAAAAAAAAAGUAUGUUUAUCUUAUAAUACGCAAUAUGCUAUAUUCAAUUUUUCUCUUAUAAGAAAAGGGAGAUUCCCCUUUCGACAACAUGUUUAAUUGUUACUCUAAGGUGGUGAUUAAAAUAGCAACCAUUUUCAUUCAUAAGAGAAUUUUCUACAAGUUCUAUUCACGUUUCAAUUUUUUUCAGUAAAUUCACUCCACAUAACUAAUAUCAACAUUACUAAUAUACAAUAUUGACAACUAUUUUUGUACACCCUACCAAACGUCUUAGUGUUGAAUUUUUUUUUAAUUUUAAAAUAGUAAUACCAUGAUUUUCUCCAUACACAGAGAGGUAGACAAGAUGAAAAAAAUGAAAGGUAACCAACCAAGAUAGUUGUAAGUGAAUCCAAGAAACUCUUCAUGCCAAUAAGAUCACUCUACUACAAUGACUAAUCAGUAUUGUCUAACACUUGGUUGCAUUCAUUAACUUAGAAAAUGCACUUGAUUAAUAAACUAACCAAAAGGAGGAUGUCAAACCAGUUGGUCAUAUGAUGAUUGAGGCCAUUAUAAAGCCAAUGGAACUAACUUGUACAUAUUUAGGUCAACCAGACAACUAAUUGACUCAAGGUUCUACAAUUUUCAUGUCUAAAGAUUAUAUCCUUUUGAGAAGAUAGCCCAGAAGGAUUCCCACCAAUGCAAUGACCAGAACAUAUACAGUUGGGAUACCACCACGACUUCUGUUACGUUCCCGUCUCAAGAGCUCCUGCAUAGGGCAAAGCUCAACAAGUUUUAAAGACGAAAUUCAAAAGGUGAUACUUUAGCUUCUUGGAGCUAGAGUAGGCAAAGGCCAUUAAUUUCAACGCAAUUAGUUGAACUCGAAACUUCAAAAACACAACCCAGCCUGACCCUUCUUUGUUUGACACAAAGGGAGAGAUGUUGGGUAUAUAUAUAAGAAAUAAGUGUUAGACCCUAGCGACGUGUUUUGAGGUCUGGGGGCCUAGGCAUAAAGUGGACAACAUGUGGGCUGAGCUGUUACACUGAUAGCAUUGCAAUAAGUUUCAAGUAGAAAAAUCGAACAUUCUUACUUAUUGUCAUGAUUUGUAUUUUCAAAUGUAUAUAACGUAAGUACUAGACAUCAACACUAUGAUUGACAUAACUUUCUAUCUCUUAAGAGAACUGAAGAUAACAACUUGCUCAAUAAACAAAACUAAUAUAAGCAGGUCCAUUAAAAGCCUAACCUAGAAUGUGGGACUGCUGAGUUCAUUCUGCCUAUGCAAACAGCAAUGCACUGCAUUUUUUAUUGUAUCCUUUUCUCUACCCAAAAGCAUAUCAGGCUAAUCAUGGCCCUUUUUCUUCCUAUCCUUAUCACUUUCUACCACCUCAAUCAAUGAAAUGACAUGUGGAGUGGGCAGCAAUUUAUGAAGAAAUGGAUAUCAAUAGAGAACAACUCGUUAGAAUUCACAAGGAAAAAGUCAGGUAAGAGGCGGGAGGCUUGUCCAAGAAAAAUGACACCAAUGUCAAGAAGAUAGCAAAAGUGUUUGACCUCAACAAAUCAUUUCUUUGCACACACCUGACCAUUGGAACUAUUUAGAUACUUCCAAUACUCUGACAACAUUAACAGGAAGAGGCACAUUUCACAGAGCAAUUGUAUUAUCCCCAAAUCCCAAAGCCAGACAACCUCUGCUUGCGAACCAACCAGUAAAUGCAGUUUAUGUCCUCCUUCCUUUGUGUUAUGUAUUUAUUUAUUUUUUUGAUUAGUUCUAUGUUUAAAAUUUCUUAUCAUUGUGCAAUUGAGUUCAGCAAUUUUCUCCAGUACAAUCCACGUCUCUAACUUUUAGAAAGAAAUGAAUGAUCAUGUGAAAUUGUCAAUGUUUUUUCCUUUGGUUUCCCACCCGGUGUCCGGAGCCCACAUUGGAGCUCCGACUAAAUCCGGAUCGCGCUCUGCAGGGCCCAUUCGGGGGUGGCGCUCCCAACAGGAUUUUCUCCAUACCCAGCGCUCGAACCCGAGACCUCUGGUUAAGGGUGAAGCACUCCCACCAGUGUACCACAACCCAUGUUGGUUGAAAUUGUCAAUGUGCCCGUAAGUAGUGGUGAGAAGUAAAUUAAUUUUUUGAGAAGGGAGUAAGCAAGUCGUAGAAUAUUUCAUAUAUAAGAUCCCCCCUUACCAAUUCUUGCUGAAGCUUGUUAUUUUGUUGCACAACAGAAAUUUUCUC
rnacentral:lncRNA from 1 species